UUUCUUCGCUAUGUCCAGUGUCUUGAUAAGCCCAUAGACGUUCUCCACUUCUGUCCUCUUGUUUUUAUUUUUUUAUUCUUUUAUUUUUUUAGCGUUUCCUUUUGAUUCCUUCUUAGCAUUUCCAUCUCUCUGCUUACCUUCCCCGUCUGUUCUUCCAUGGUGUCGCCUGUUUUGUGAUAGCCCUCGGCAUAUGAGUCACAGUUGUUUUAGAUUCCGCGCUCUGAUGAUCCCAACAUCCCUGCCAGAGCCGAGGGUGGUUCUGACGUUUGCUUGUGUGCUUUGUCUUUUGGUGUACCCUGUGACUUCCCGCCGCAAGCCACACAUGAGGCACUGGGUACAAGGAACCGAGUACUGGCUCUUGCGGUUUCUGCCUGUGAAUUUGCACUCUGGGAGGACUUCUAAGCUUCUCGCACGCUGGACCAGGAGCUGGAAGUCAGUGUGGCCAAUCCUUUCUGAAGCAAUCCAUGGUUCCUCCUCAGUCAGCAGGAUGAAGGGUGUUUGCCAUCAAAUGAGACAGCUAGUAAGGACACAUUUUGGCAGGGAGACGGAACAGAGACUAUACAUAUAAACACACGAACCGGUUCGUUUUCCCCUUCUCUCCAUUGCCCUGAUGCGCUUCCCAAAUAAACCUUCUACUGGUAGUACGGAAUUUGGUUCAUAUUGGAGGACAAGAAGUCGGGCGUCUGUAGGUAAACAGAAGUUUAGUUUUGAACAAUUCCAUGCUCUUUUUUCUUGGCUUCACCCCAUAAACCUUAAGAGGCACAUCGAAGAAACAGAGACGGACACCUGGAACACUUCAAGACUUGAGGAAUAAGAUCUUGGAGACAGCAGUGGGAGUGUGGGGAGUAUCCCAUCUGGGGGAGAUCAGAGUGGUUCUCUUGACUCUAUUAUCGAAUGAUAUACUCCGCAAAGGCGGCGUGCCCAGCUUAUGGCAAAAAGCACCUGUUGCCAAUAAACGUUGGGAGUGACGGUGACUAGUCUGACCUAUUCUCAUUGCCUUGUACACAGCCUGGGACGCAGAGGGUUUGCCGGGGGGGAAAGUGAAUGGAGUCCGGCAAGUACAGCACACGGCCCAGAUUUUCCUUCUUUGCUCCGGAGAAUAGAAAUGAAGGGCACGGGCUUACAUUUGUACAGUUAGUGAAGUUAUUUAGAGGAAAUAACCCUUGUGGUAUUUCUGGGAGCGUUUGCUGGGAAAAGUCAAGCACUGUCUUUCCCGUCAAAUAUUUAAGAUGGGAAGAUUUAAUUUUAAUCCUACUUGAUAGUGCUUGGGUCAACUAUAAAAUUAUCAUAUUUAAAAAAUCACUUCAAAAGACUUUUCUUUUAGGAAGAUUAUCCUGCUAGGCUUAAAGAAGAAACACAUUCUUAUUGGAGGGAUCCUUCUACUGUUAUAUUCACUCCAUAGCUUCGCUCAAGACCAUUAACCUUGUCCCUGAGAUGAUUCACUUGUGCUAUUCGCGGUGUCCCCUGGAUUCUAGAAUAAAGGACAAGCCAGUGUA